CGUUAUUAACGUGAGCAGUUCAUAUAUCGUGCCUUGUUAUAAUUGCACUGAAUAUAGAUUUCAUUUCAUAGGGCAAUGCAACGUGCGUGGGAGGAUCAAUGCAGUGGGCAUUGACGUUUCAAUGUCAGCUACCUCUUGAAUGCAACAUUUUUGGGGGAUGAUAGGAAAAUGAAAAUACGAGAUGAGGAAGACGUUCCGGACCCGCCCAACGAUACCACACACACA